rnacentral:lncRNA from 1 species
GCCGGGGGAUUGGGAUUUCUAGCUUUAAUAUAACAUAUGUCAGCUUUUUAACUUGUAUUUACAGCAAUGUUAGCCAGUUUUGUGUUACUAUAGAUUAGACCGUUGGUUUUCUCGUUUGAAUUGUUUUACACUAGUUAUUUUAGGGCUCUUUAUAGCUUGUUGUUCGGUGUGAGCCAAUGCUCCGUGUUGAAGGCCGUACAAUGACCUAUAAUGGUUUACUUUUAUAAAUUGUUAUUUGGAUAGAGAGUUGUCUGAUUGGCACUUAUACCACAUCUUAUACUGUAACAGUUUAAUUUUCCAUGAAAAAGGAUUUUUUUCAUGUCCGGUAGCAUCGUAACUU